GUUGCAGUCGGCAAAGAACUCGUAGGCGCCCAUAUCGACUACGGGAGGCCCCACAUCGCCGGCACUUCCCGUGUCUGGGGUCAGGGGGUCGUCGAGGAACCGCGGAUUCCCAGCCAGGUCAAGCGGAAGUGGUUCCGCAGUGUCCGAGUCGCCAUCCAGGUCGGCCGUGUCGGGUGGGACCCCAUCGUUGUCCCCGGCGUCGAUGCACGGCGAGCCGAACACGAGCCGCAGAUCACCAAUCUCAUCAUCCUCUGUGCCCCACUCCGCAUCCGGUCCCGGGUCCGGGUCCCGGACGAACAGUGGGUCUUCGGAGAUGUUGCCGUCGAUUCCCGUGGGGUCU
rnacentral:rRNA from 1 species